GCCUCCGUAGCAUAGUAGCUAUUGCGGCAGACUUGUAAUCUGCAAGCCUAAAGGCUGGAUUGAGGUCGUGGGUGCAAUUCCCAUCGGGGGCU
rnacentral:tRNA from 1 species